rnacentral:rRNA from 1 species
UACGAAGGGGGCUAGCGUUGCUCGGAAUUACUGGGCGUAAAGCGCACGUAGGCGGUCUUUUAAGUCGGGGGUGAAAUCCUGGAGCUCAACUCCAGAACUGCCUUCCGAUACUGAAAGACUUGAGUUCCGGGAGAGGUGGAGUGGGAACUGCGAGUGUAGAGGUGAAAUUCGUAAGAUAUUCGCAAGAACACCAGUGGCGAAGGCGGACUCACUGGCCCGGUACUGACGCUGAGGUGCGAAAGCG